GCUGAACUUAAGCAUAUCAAUAAGCGGAGGAAAAGAAACCAACAGGGAUUGCCCUAGUAACGGCGAGUGAAGCGGCAACAGCUCAAAUUUGAAAUCUGGCGCAAGCCCGAGUUGUAAUUUGUAGAGGAUGCUUCUAGGUAGCGACCGGUCUAAGUUCCUUGGAACAGGACGUCAUAGAGGGUGAGAAUCCCGUAUGUGACCGGCCCGCACCUUCUACGUAGCUCCUUCGACGAGUCGAGUUGUUUGGGAAUGCAGCUCUAAAUGGGAGGUAAAUUUCUUCUAAAGCUAAAUACCGGCCAGAGACCGAUAGCGCACAAGUAGAGUGAUCGAAAGAUGAAAAGCACUUUGGAAAGAGAGUUAAAAAGCACGUGAAAUUGUUGAAAGGGAAGCGCUUACAACCAGACUUCUGGGCGGUGUUCCGCCGGUCUUCUGACCGGUCUACUCACCGUCCCGAGGCCAACAUCAUCUGGGACCGCCGGAUAAGACCUUAGGAAUGUAGCUCCCCUCGGGGAGUGUUAUAGCCUGUGGUGAUGCGGCGCGUCUCGGGUGAGGUCCGCGCUUCGGCAAGGAUGUUGGCGUAAUGGUUGUCAGCGGCCCGUCUUGAAACACGGACCAAGGAGUCUAACAUCUAUGCGAGUGUUCGGGUGUCAAACCCCUACGCGUAAUGAAAGUGAACGGAGGUGGGAAGGGUAACCUGCACCAUCGACCGAUCCUGAUGUCCUCGGAUGGAUUUGAGUAAGAGCAUAGCUGUUGGGACCCGAAAGAUGGUGAACUAUGCCUGAAUAGGGUGAAGCCAGAGGAAACUCUGGUGGAGGCUCGCAGCGGUUCUGACGUGCAAAUCGAUCGUCAAAUUUGGGUAUAGGGGCGAAAGACUAAUCGAACCAUCUAGUAGCUGGGUCCUGC
rnacentral:rRNA from 1 species